rnacentral:lncRNA from 1 species
AAUGCACAGCACUUUGUAGUAUAUUACGAGUAUGUUGUGUUGAAUGCGCUUAAACUUUUUUUUUUUUAACAAACUUACGUUUUAUGUUUUAUAGCAAUGAAUAAACAUAUUAAGCGAUAAGAAAGAAAAUAAAAAAAAAUAAAUAAAAAAAAGUUAUAUACAUAUAUAUAUAUACAUAUACAUGCAGUUUUAGCUUAGCUUAACAACGUUGUUUUAAUAGGAGAGUAUACAUAUAUAUAACAUAUAUAUAACAUAUAUAUAACAUAUAUGUAACAUAUUUACAACAUAUAUAUAAACACACUUAUGUACACAUAGGUAUAGAUAAACUCCAUUAUGUUAAUUUUUUAAAUCUACCAAAAAAAAAAAAAAAAGAAAAAGUAAUAACUAGUUAGCUAGCCAACUAACCAACCAACCAAUCAAUCAACCAACCAACCAAUCAACCAAUCAACCAAUCAACCAAUCAACCAAUCAACCAAUCAACCAACCAACCAAUCAACCAACCAAUCCACCAACCAAUCAAUCAACCAAUCAACCAGCUAACUAAAUAACUACCUAAAUGACAAAAAAACUUGCUUUACCCUUUUUUAUAAUUUGUUUUAUUUUAUGUUAUUUUCCAUCUGAACUUAUAAAAUGUGCAGUGUGGGAAGAAAUAGACGAUUCCGAAGUACAAAACGUUAAACAUGUAACUCAUGACAUGGAAUUACAUAUAUAUAGUCGACAUACAAAAUAUUGUCUGGCUUUGUUUUGUAAUAAAGAAAUAUUAAAGUGUAAAAACGUGUAUAGUGAAUUUGUUCAAGCAUCUAAUGAGAAAUUUGAAAAUGAUGUAGUUUUUGCAUAUAUUGAUACUACAAAGUUAAGUAAAAUAGCUAAUGAUUUUGAAAUAACUACUAUUCCCAAAAUAUUAAUAUUUAGAGAUUAUGAUCCAGAAAAAGGAUAUACAUUCAAUUUUAAAUAUACAAAAGAAAAUAUAAUAAAAUGGCUUAAAGAACCAUUACUACCUUCCGUUGAAGUUAUGGAACAAAGUAAUAUAAAAAAAUAUGUAGAACUUCAAAGAAACAAAGGCUAUGCAAGUAUUAUUGCACAUUGUUUAAAAAAUUCCAAUAAUUCUUAUAAAUUUUUUCAUUUUGGAGAUACACAUAAAAUUCCUAAUUUAUCUGUUGGUUUAACUUACGUUGAAAAAGAUGAAGA